GACCUACUGGUUUCGAGACGGUCGCGGUUGCUGACUUUGAGAACGGGCCUGUCCCAGCAGUUCUGAGAGGAGCCAGGAGCUGAGGCUGUGGGAGCUCAAAAACCUCACCUGAGUUCUGAGAACUGUGCGACCUGGUGGGGGGACAGUCCCUGAGUGCUCCGUGUCCCUGGGAAGACAGGGAUAAAGUAUGGCGCUGAGCAGAUAGAUGCAGACUCCUGUUUAUCAGAUAAGUGAAUGAAGAGGACUUGGGUGCAUUUUCUGACUGCACUGGGUGGGAGAAGAGGAAAAUGUGAAUUACUUUCUUGUGAUCUGAUAGAGAAAGAGCCUCCGAGCUGUGGAGGGGUGCAGAGAUGCUGGCUACAGUGUGGCUUCUAAGACAACCUAUUCUCAAGUGAGAGCGCCGGUCAGACUUACAGCUAUAAGAUCCUAUCUCAAACUUGAAAAACACAGUGGGCAGAAGCUUGAGAAACAGAGAAAAGGAUUCUCUUCUGAAGACUGUUCCUGAGUGGGUGUCUUCAGUCCUUCCCAGUGUUCAUGCUGUCACCUCUCACCUGGUGAGAACUGUCACUCCUGUCUACGUUACGGUGUCUAUGUUUCUAGCUUCUGUUUUGACUUAUUACUGACCCCCAUCCUUCCAAUACCUGUAGACUGGAUCUUCUUCUGUUUUUUAGCUCUGUAUGUCUUGCCUUAGCUGUCCAAUCUGAGCAAUUAAAAGCCUGCGUAUGCUACUGUGUCUUUAGCACUGCUGAUCCUGCUUAACAUGCUGUACUGUUUCUGCUCCCUAUAUUUAUUUUGAAUUUAUGAGAAUAUUUAUCAAUAUCUCAGUCUACUCUUUUAAAAAAUCAUUUUUGUUUUUCUCUCAAGUAUAUCAGUUUAUUCAUGUCUUUAGGUGUUAUUAUUGCUUCUUAAAGGUAUCCUCUUUAAAGUUCUUUCAGCUUUCUUUGUUACUACUACUUUAAAAUGAGAUCUUAAAUUAUUUUGAUGUUUUUCUUUCUUGUAGCUAGACCUUCCAACCUCUUCCACAUCAUAGCAGCACACAGAGAAAAUAUUAUAGCAUGCUUGCUAUGUGGAUGAGUGUACUGACAGCUAGAGGUACCUAGCUCUGAAGCUCCCUACAACUUCAGGCCCUACUUGGCUGCAGUGAACCAGAGGUGCAAAACCACACCUGGAAACUCUUCAUGGAAUGCCCAUUAGGAAGCUCUGCUGGAUGUGCGUGUGGCUAUAAUGUGGAUGUGUGCAGCCUCGUAAGUGUUAUCACGAGCUGUAUUUCUAAGUUCCAGCUGGCUUUCUGAAUUAACUGGAAUAGAAAGUUCAUAAUGCCUCUUUCCCACUCAUUAACUUUCUCCCAUAGGAGACUUUGAUUCAGCCAAUUUAGGGAUCCAAUAAGAGAGCAGAAUAUAACUUGAAGGCAUUUAGCUUUUUAAUAGCAGCUGAGGCAAUAUUCUGUCACUAAAAAACUUUCAUGUGUUCUGAGUACAAAGAUUCUAAUAAACAAUACAUAGUUUUUGCUAUUUUCUGCACUAA